rnacentral:rRNA from 1 species
GAUGAACGCUGGCGGCGUGCCUAAUACAUGCGAGUCGAGCGAACGGACGAGAAGCUUGCUUCUCUGAUGUUAUCGGCGGACGGGUGAGUAACACGUGGAUAACCUACCUAUACGACUGGGAUAACUUCGGGAAACCGGAGCUAAUACCGUAUGAUAUUUUUAACCGCAUGGUUCAAAAGUGAAAGACGGUCUUGCUAUCACUUAUAGAUGUAUCCGCGCUGCAUUAGCUAGUUGGUAAGGUAACGGCUUACCAAGGCAACGAUGCAUAGCCGACCUGAGAGGGUGAUCGGCGACACUGCAACUGAGACACGGUCCAGACUCCUACGGGAGGCAGCAGUAGGGAAUCUUCCUCAAUGGGCGAAAGCGUGACGGAGCAACGCCGCGUGAGUGAUGAAGGUCUUCGGAUCGUAAAACUCUGUUAUUGGGGAAGAACAUAUGUGUAAGUAACUGUGCACAUCUUGACGGUACCUUAUCAGAAAGCCACGGCUAACUACGUG